UACGUAGGGUGCGAGCGUUAAUCGGAAUUACUGGGCGUAAAGCGUGCGCAGGCGGCUUCGCAAGUCAGACGUGAAAUCCCCGGGCUUAACCUGGGAAUGGCGUUUGAAACUACGGAGCUGGAGUAUGGCAGAGGGGGGUGGAAUUCCACGUGUAGCGGUGAAAUGCGUAGAUAUGUGGAGGAACACCGAUGGCGAAGGCAGCCCCUUGGGCCAAUACUGACGCUCAUGCACGAAAGCGUGGGGAGCAAACAGG
rnacentral:rRNA from 1 species